UUUCUUUUCCUCCUCUCACUAGAUUAUUCUCUCUCUCUCUCCUUUUUUCUCUAAGUCUAGAAAAAUGGAAGAAUGGAAGAGUGGGGAAGAAUAGGAUGGGAAGGCCUAUUUAUAAAAUUUUAGAACGGUUGGAUUUACAUCAAGUGGAAAAAUUUGAUGAAGAGAGAGGAGAAAAAGAGCUCGACACAAAAAAUGAGGGAGGAGGGCCGCCUCUAGCUACUAGGCCACCGCUCGAGGUGACAGCAGUGCACUGCAGGCUAUCCUGCAGGUGCACAGGCCUCCUGCCAUGCAUAAGGCCUAUCUGCGCGGCAUCCGCGUAGGCGACUCUGCUUCCUCGUGGGAUUUCUUCUUGUUUCGCUAUUUUUAUGAUUUU
rnacentral:lncRNA from 1 species